AUUGAACGCUGGCGGCAUGCCUUACACAUGCAAGUCGAACGGUAACAGGUCUUCGGAUGCUGACGAGUGGCGAACGGGUGAGUAAUACAUCGGAACGUGCCCGAGAGUGGGGGAUAACGAGGCGAAAGCUUUGCUAAUACCGCAUACGAUCUCAGGAUGAAAGCAGGGGACCGCAAGGCCUUGCGCUCACGGAGCGGCCGAUGGCAGAUUAGGUAGUUGGUGGGAUAAAAGCUUACCAAGCCGACGAUCUGUAGCUGGUCUGAGAGGACGACCAGCCACACUGGGACUGAGACACGGCCCAGACUCCUACGGGAGGCAGCAGUGGGGAAUUUUGGACAAUGGGCGCAAGCCUGAUCCAGCCAUGCCGCGUGCAGGAUGAAGGCCUUCGGGUUGUAAACUGCUUUUGUACGGAACGAAAAGACUCUGGUUAAUACCUGGGGUCCAUGACGGUACCGUAAGAAUAGGCACCGGCUAACUACGUGCCAGCAGCCGCCGCAGUAA
rnacentral:rRNA from 1 species